rnacentral:tRNA from 1 species
GGGCCCAUAGCUCAGCUGGUAGAGCGCUUGGCUGGCAGCCAAGAGGUCAGGGGUUCGAAUCCCCUUGGGUCCACCA